rnacentral:lncRNA from 1 species
CAUAAUCUCCAAAAUAGGCCACAUGACGAAUGACAGAUCUACGCUAAUCAGUCUUAUUGCUCUUUUAGAGAAAGUGAAAUAACUUUGAGUAAGGGCACACGUCGAAUGUCGCCUCUUAAACAUCAUUCUCUUUCACAGCUUUACCAAUAGAUAGAAGUGACUAGAUUAGGUUCAUCAAUAAACAUGGAAUGGAAUAAAAUUUAGGUCAUAAUUCUUGCUGAUAUGUAGGUUAGUAGUUGGAAAAUGUCAGUUCAUCAAUAAUAGGUUAUCGAGCUAUGCGUCGGUUACAAUUGGGAGACCCCUUCCUCUUGUGGCCUCACCCAAUGCCAAUUUAUAGAUUUGGUUCAAGAAUAUGAAAUGUCACAAUAUAAUUUUUAUCUCUAAGUGAGUCACUAGAGCUAACUAUUGAGUAAAAAGAGGAUAGCUUAGUUUUCCAAAAAAUUAUGCAAAUUCUUAUAUGGCCAAAUUUCUUUCUUUUUUCUUGAUGAAAAAUAGCCAAAUUUUUCUGAGUCUUUAAAAGAGAAAAACAAGCAGUCCUUUGCGAAACGACUGUUCUUGUAUUUGGGUUGAUAAACUGAUAUGUGUUGUAAUUCAGUGAAAAAUGAUAGGCUCCUGAAAUUAUAUUUGCAAAAACAAUAAGGUGCUACCUUACUAAUUAGCUGGUAAGGUCUCUCGGUGGUUGUAACAAAGACCUGAUCUGGGUUCAAUCUCACCUUCAUCAAGAUUUUGGGGGUUAAGGGGUUUGGAAGAGAGCUACUCCUCUUAUAAACUGUUGCCUACAGGCCUCUUCUACUAUCCAAAAAAACAGGAACACAAAAUUUAAAGCUAAUUUCGGGUUUCAAAUAUCCCGUUGCCUCAAUUCAGUUGUGGCAAUCCCUAAUGGUGUAACUAUGCUCCCUCUUCUGGUGUUUCUUUUCCUAACACUUGGUUUUAACAAAUGGUUGCUGUAAUGUUAUAAUGGCUUUUAUAAUAGUUCAACAAGUCUAGCUACUUUUAUCUUGUAGACAUACAUAAUUGUAAUUCAAUACCAGCUGCUCUCGUGGAAUAAUAGCCAUUAUUUGAUAUUUUUCUUGAAUUACAUGAUAAAUUGUUAGAUAUAUUAAUAAUUCUAUAAAGAUGUGAAGAUUUGUUUUUGAGAAUAACAGCAAAAAACACUAACAGUUUUAAUUCAAAACAUAAGUUCACAAACAAUAAUUUUUGUCAAAUGAUAUUAUCAUUGCCACUUAAUUUUUAUUUAACAACUAAUGACAGCCACAUAUUCUAAAAAGUGUCACUUCCAAAUUCGUGACGUAACACAGCCAUACUACUGAGAGGUACAACCUACGAUGACACGAAGCUAAACAUUUUUUUAACUUCCAAAUUCAUCACAAACAAAAUAUAAUAAAUAUAAGUCCAAUUUUAUCAUCCAUUAAAUGAAACAAAUAUUGGUUCAGGGCAUCUAAAUCCAAAUAUAAAAACCAAACCCAUAAUUCUUAAUAUACUAAGCUUCAUAUUCAUAACCACUGAAAAAUUAAAGUUCUGCUAUAUAAAUUGCCAAGCUUACUAGCAUGAACUCCAAGCCUGGACCAUCCUUCGUCUCUAUUGACCCUAUUCGCUUGAAGAAAGAAAAAUAAAAAUAGAGUUAUAUGAGCGACACAGCUUAGUGAGUAAAUCUUAUACUACCUUAUUAGACCAAACAUAAAUUUUUCCAUAUCAAUGCAUCAUUUAAGAAAAAUAAAAGAUAUUUUUUAAAAAAAUACUUCAUAGUAGAAUAUAUUAAACCAAGUCAUAAAGCCAAUAAUGCAUACAUAAAUCAUCCUUAUUUUGUAAACAUAGUUCCAAGUCUAUAUUGCAAAUAAAUUCAUAAAUUAUUCUUUUGCCAUUUAGCCACAACAUAUUUAAAAUAUUGCUCAUUGAUAUUCGUGCUAUGGUCACUUUAUA